GCGGGGGGGCCGUUACAGGCUUGCCCGGUACAGGCUUGCCUGUACCGGUGAUAACAUUAUCCAGAGAAUGCUCACAGACAUUGGUUUUAAUGUGGUUACCACACAUCGAUGAAGACUGGAAUGUGGCCAAGAAGUCAGGACAAAGAUGCCGGUUUAACUGGCUUGGAAGCAGUUUUAAUGGAGAUGAAAAUGUCAUAUCAACUCAACACAGGGAUCAAACUUUGGUGGUGGAAUCCCUAACAUCAAGAGCAAGAAGUGCUGUGACGAGGGAACUGGAGGGAGAAGCCACAGAAGAUGGGCCAGUAAGUGGAGGCAUCCAAUGGGC